GGAGUAGCAGUGGCAGCAGUGACAGUAGUGGGUUCAGAUCAUCUGGGUAUGGGAAGGUAGGAUCUUGCCUUCCCCCCAGUCAACCCAUGUUUGGUCGCCUGCAUGACCUUAAUAUCUGCCAACUAUGAAGAGGUUUCCCAGAAGUUGCUGUCUUCAUGAAAGUCAGACCAUUCAGAAGACCACAUCACCUACCACAGUUACCGUCUCAUGGCGACUUCCAUCAAGCAUCACCGCAUAGAAAUGGAUUAAGACUUGGUUACAAAGUUCCACCAGUAAAGAUGAUUUGAAGUCACACUCUUACCAACAAAGGAUAACUCAGCAUAACUCCUUUUUGAACAAGAAAGCCUUAACCUGAUGCCAAAAAGACAACAGUGAAUUAUCCCUACAUGCCUUUGCGCCUCCGUCUGUGAGAUGCAACUCUGCGUUGGGACAUAUAAGUUUACACACAGAAUGCUGGUUUUAUGAUCGGAGACCAGUACAGCCAAAGCCCACUCCCCAGGACAAGAUGACUUCACCACCUGCACAUUAAAGUGUGAGUGUAUAUGUGUGAAAGAACUGUGAUGACCAGAAAACAGGAGAGAAGUCCAUUUCAAGGACUUCAUUUUUCAGCCUACUCAGCGAGCAUGUGGUUUCAUUUCAGAGGCCUUUUCAGGCACUUGACAUCCAUUCAUAACCAAACUGUUCUCAUUAACUUCGAUGGUUUAUGCAAGACAGAUGUACCAACAGCUUUAAUGAAGUGUUUUCCAUUCUAAUUUAGUCUAUGCAUAAUAAAUGAAACUAUUUUGAAGAA